rnacentral:rRNA from 1 species
UACACGAGCGGCGAACGGGUGAGUAACACGUGAGCAACCUGCCCCUGACUCUGGGAUAAGCGGUGGAAACGCCGUCUAAUACCGGAUACGACCUUCCGUCUCAUGACGGUGGGUGGAAAGUUUUUCGGUCAGGGAUGGGCUCGCGGCCUAUCAGCUUGUUGGUGGGGUAACGGCCUACCAAGGCGAUUACGGGUAGCCGGCCUGAGAGGGCGACCGGCCACACUGGGACUGAGACACGGCCCAGACUCCUGCGGGAGGCAGCAGUGGGGAAUAUUGCGCAAUGGGCGAAAGCCUGACGCAGCGACGCCGCGUGGGGGAUGACGGCCUUCGGGUUGUAAACCUCUUUUACCACCAACGCAGGCCCGGGGUUCUCUCCGGGUUGACGGUAGGUGGGGAAUAAGGACCGGCUAACUACGUGCCAGCAGCCGCGGUAAUACGUAGGGUCCGAGCGUUGUCCGGAAUUAUUGGGCGUAAAGAGCUCGUAGGCGGCGUGUCGCGUCUGCUGUGAAAGACCGGGGCUUAACUCCGGUUCUGCAGUGGAUACGGGCAUGCUAGAGGUAGGUAGGG